AUCCACCAUGAAAUCAAGUUUUCUUCACUUUCCUUUCCAUGUUUUUCUUUUCCUUUCUUCUCCAAACUUCUUGAGCACUAAAUUGACAGCCUUUAACCCCAAUUUCCAGCAUAUCUAAACCCUAAGAGGAGAAGAAAGAAAAAGAGAGAAAGGAAGAAAAAGCUUGGUUUUGGUGAUUCAGGCAAGAAACGGUAAGAAUUCUUGUUUUUGGCUUAAGUAGUCUUUGAAAAUGAGUUAGUGACUUAGAGAAAUGUCUUGUGGCAGCAAAGAUUGACUUGAUUGGAGAAAAAUUGAUAACAUGUAAGCCAAUAAACCCAUGGGCACAUGAAGGACUCAAAGUGGAAAAGGAAAAUGGUGAGCUUAACACUAUGUUUUCAAGCCUACGGUUAGUUGAAUAUUGUGAGGAAUUAUGGUUGUUGAAAGGAUUUAUUUGCCUAAGCUAGUUUAAAAUUAUUAAGAUUGUAUGGCAUGUUGUUUGAAAGAAAUGAAAAAGGAAUAUUGUGGAUGGAGGAUUAAGAAACGAAGUAUUGAAAGUUAGAUAGAUAACAAUACGUGUAAACUAAGAAAUAAUCGAGUGAAAGUGAGAAUGAUUGUUGUUGCCAUAUAUGUGGAUUAUGUCUAGAAAUAUAAGAUUGAUUUGGGUGGAAAUUAUUUAGAAAGGUUGAAGUAGACACGUGACAUCAUAAUUAAGUUGUCGGUGAUAUAAUUUAAGGAAUUACGUAAGCAAUGGAUAUAAGUAAUUUUAGUAAAAAUGUAUUAACAUGUGAGUUAAUUGAAGAUGGUUUCAUGAUAGGAUGAAAAAUAUAAAUUUGAGUAAGGAUUAAUUGAUUGAAGUGCUGCCCGUAUACGUAUAUAAUUAAAUAUAUUGAGUUUGUAUUAUUGUUAGGAAGUGCAAAAAUAAGGUUAGGGUACUGUGGUGGCAUGCUAGAGUAAACAUCGAGCGACCGGCCAGUGAAAAUAAUUAGACACCUCCGAUCAAAUAGCAAUGUAAUAUCCCAUUAUCGUAAGGUGAGUGAACUUGCAUAAAAUGUUUUAGGAGUAAGGCACAUGUGGUUGAUUGAGACAUUUUAAUUGUUUUUCUAUAAAAAUGCAUGGGAACAAGCCUUUAGUGAAAUGUUUUUGUGAUGUGGAACAUGAUUGUGAUGAAUCUAUGUACCUCUAUAUGAUAUUGAUAUGUAUAUAUAUAAAAAAUAGUAAUAUAUGAUAUGUAUUGUUAACAAAUUUUGUGUAAUUGAUGUAACCAUGCAUGUGCGGAGUGGGUAGUGCACAUGCCGGUUGAAUGACAAUGUUGUGAUAAUUGUAACUGUGCAUGUGAGGAAUGGGCAAUGCACAUGUCGGUUGAAUGACAAUGUCAUGAUAAUUACAACCGUGCAUGUGCAAAGUGGGUAGUGCACAUGCCAGUAAUGAUGCACACGAGUUGGGUGAGAUGGGGUGUUCGGCUAUGUGCACGAUGUACGGGGAUGCACAUGAGCUGGGUGAGGUGAUGGUGGUGUAUUUGCUUAUAUAUAUAUUUACUAUAUAAAGGUGUUUGGAUUUAAUAUGUGAUUGCAUUGACUGUUGAAAACUUGAGUAUUGUCAAUUUGUUCAAUUUAAUGUGCAAUGUGGCAUGAAUGGAAUUUUCUUGAUGGCAGUGAAAGCCCCUUGAUUUUAUCUUGUCAGGCCCUGCUCUAUAAUAUACUUGCCAUGUCAUUCAUGUACUUGAUAGCAUGUCUGUAUACUUAGAUGCCUCGAAAAAUCGUUAAAAGUCGGUAUUGUACUUAGUGGUACAAUUAAGUCGAUUAAAGUCUUGAACUAGUCCAAAUAGAGAUUGUGGGAUGUAUUUGAGAGUUAUUGAACCUUAGAAUGUCUUAAAAUGGUGAUUUGGAGUUCGAGGAUUAAUUUGAAAUCCAUUUGGGAAUUUUCAUAACGUAAGGGCAAAAUAGUCAUUUUACCACCCAAGGGCAAAAAUUGGAAUGUUGGACAAGAUUUUUGACCAAGUUUGACUAGUUGGAACAUAAUUUGAAUUUGAGGAGUGAAAAUUUUCAAUUCCGAGCAUAAGGGCAAAACGAUCAUUUCAAAUGUCCACGAGGACGUAAUUAUAAUUUUUGAAAUUUUACACCACCAUGACACUUGUUAAGCCCAUGAAUUUCACCUAUUAUCAUUUUAUACUUUGGAUAAUUAUGGGAUUAUAUGUGGUGGAAAGGAAAAACCUUAUUAGUUAAGUUUUAAAUGUGAACCAAUUAUAUGUUGCCAUGUGUCAAGUUUUUAUUAUUUUAUAAUUUCCUUUAUAAACUCAACAUAAACUCUCCCAUUCACUCUCUCAUUGUUGUUCAAGCCAAAGAACAAAGGGGGAAAGAAUAAAAAAACCCCAUGGAGGAAAAGUUCAAGAGAAAUUCAUUGGAUUUUCGAAAAACGAAGCGGUCGGGG
rnacentral:lncRNA from 1 species